UUUCCUCCAAGUGUCGUCAGCAGAGUCCUUAUCCGAUAGAGUUACAUAGACUGUGGGGACAGAUUCUCUUCUUGCUUCCCCUGGUAGAAAUCAUGAGCAACUUCCCUGAAUUCAUUGGUACUGCUCCAACGUAACAUCAGUAUAAGCCAGAGAAGAAUCAGACUCAUUUGUCUCCGCUGGAACGCCAAGUCCCUAAAGCAAUUGUGCUGCAUGAUGUCUAUCUAGAUAUAGGUGCCUUAGGAAUACCAGAGAUAAAUGGAGAUAUGCAAUGGAUCCCUCUUGGUUAAACAGCGAGCUUUGAAUCUGGAACCCCCAGGACUAAAAAUCACUUCUGUUCUCAGUGGAGGUACAGCAGGUCAGUGGAGGUACAUCAGCAUAUGACCUGACUCCUCAGACUAGAAGGGAAAACAGCAAAGGCUAACUACAGAUUAAUGUGUAAUUUUCAAUAGACUAUUCAGAAAUAUUCACUGGGAACCCAUCUCUGGAACUAAUUUACUCAGACAAUGGAAUGCCUUUAUAUGGAGAGGAGAAACCUCUUGGGAUUUCACCCACUUAUUUUUCAAGCUUUUUUAAAAAGGAAGUAAAUUUGAGGAUAUCUAUUGGGAACAUCAUUCUACACAUUUACCUAGCAAGCCCCUGGAUGUUGAUAUAUUGGUAUAAAUACUACUAAAACCUAAUUUAUCUCCUGUCUUAAGUACUAACUGUUCCACUUUGUUUGUUCUUUUGCCUCCCCUACAUCAAACAAACUGUAACAUAGCAGAACAUCCCAGAAGUCCUGCCUAUCACAGCUCCUAUCCAUAUUUUAUCCUUUCUGUCUCCACCUUCGCCUGCAGUUUCUUUCCACUGCUUGAUCAGUUUUCAUGGUCAUUCAAGUCAUAGGGGUGAUUUGUUCAGGUAAAAUGGAAAAUUGAAACGGAACGGGUGCUGGAUACAACAUCAUCCGCUUUUUCUGUUUUGUCAAAGUGCCUCGGCUGUUCAUUUUUUCAUGGUCAUGAGUUGAAAUAAAUUAAACUUCCCAGAGGCAAAACUUCUCUAAGAUCAAAUUGGAAUAUAUUGAUUAGGCUCUUUGAGGGCUGAUGGAUUGGACUCUCAUGCUUUAUAAACACAUUUACCAACACGUUUUCAGAAACAGUUGCUUAGCACUGGGCAAACUGAUUGUGUUUAUUUAAAACUGUGACACCGGCAUACACCUGUAGCCCUCAUUCUGGCCAAUAAAGUCUCACUUCCUGAUUGAUGGAGACAAGUUGAGCUGUCUGGCUGCAUGACUCCUAAGACUGGUCCCAAAGGUUGCAGGGCUGAUGGAGUCCAGCGCAAUGCAUCAAUGUCAGAGAAACAACUUAGCAUGUCAUUGAGAAGAUCUGAUCAGUGGGCACCUGGGAGAGAGGAUGAAAGCAGUAAGCUAGAAGAUUUU